rnacentral:lncRNA from 1 species
UGCCCCUGGCUUCCUGCAGCGCCUGCUUCACGUGGCCCUCUUCACCCUCGGGACAGCAAAUCUGCUUUUCUCAUCCGCUUGCAUUGUUCCCUCUCUGACAAAGGUUUCUGCCUCCUUUAUUUCUCACUAUUGUUACUUCUCCCUUACAGAACAAUGAUUUAUUUUUUCCCCAUUUCAGCCAUAGCUGCCCUACGCAGUCGUCCCCAGCAGAGAAGCACAGCAGCAGUGGGGUUGGACGAGUUGUGCAUCGAGUUGCUGGCUGCUUGCAAUUUCAGCUUGGUUCUGCAGGGGACUGGAGUUCUGGGAGUUGAAGUUCAGGAGCAAAUCGUUUCUUUACCGGCAGGUACUGUUCAGCUCCGUGUUUGCCUCCAACAUCCACAGGAUCACUCUUGCUGUACCUUGGUUGUUUUUUUAGUGUCACAUCCCUGUUCAGUGCCAGUUCUGUCAGGGCUUCGUGCCACACAGGGACCUGGCCUCAGACAGGCGAGGCUCCACAUUCGCUGUUUGCCCCAGCAGAACCAGAACAUCUCAGGCCCGUGUCUGAAAGGAGCAAAGUCACAGAACCGUGUGGGAGGGUGGAAAGUUUUUUGUUUUCCACAACCUCCGUCCUUGCAGGCUGAGUGGUAAAACCAAGAGCCAUAUGUUCCUGCUCUGCCGCGUGGCACCGGGCCCAGCAAAGACCGCCUGGAAUUUUACUUUCUGGCUUCAGAGCAUGAAGCAGCCCUCGACGUAGCACAAAGGAGAGCUGGGCAGACCUGCUGCAGCGACGCAGGCACGGCUGCAGGAUCUCUGUCAUGCUGACUGGCCUCCCCUGGGAUUCCUUUGAAAUAACUCCCGUGGGGUUUUCGCUGCUGUCCUCAGGGGAGGUGGCUCUCCCCGCAGCUUCGUGGAUCGGGAGCUGGCUCUUCCUGGCCUGGCCACGGUCACACUCUGGAGACAGAGUAGGCAAGAGGAGGACUUGUUUUUGGAGGAGAGAGGGGGUGUUUUGUGGGAACAGCGAGCAGCUAUUUUUUAUUCUGUUUUGACAAACUAAGUUGGUUUUUAUCCUGUGCCAAGCGCUGCUCUGUAGGCUCUCUGACAGUGGGUGUCUGGAUCUGAGCAGGGGAAGGACGACAACAUGCUUGAGAAGGCUGGGUGUGCAGCAGGGAUUUGCUUCAUCAGAUGCUCUUGUGACAAGGAGAAAAGGCUGCUAACCCAUUUAAUGCAUUAGACUGGAAAUGCUGCUUCGUGAUGCUGUGCAGAAGGAAACAGCUACCAGCAGCACGGAGCCUGAUGCCCUCUGCGAGCACAGCAGCAGCCUC